rnacentral:tRNA from 1 species
GGUGGGGUGGCCGAGUGGUUUAAGGCAGCAGUCUUGAAAACUGCCGAAGGUGCAAGCCUUCCGUGGGUUCGAAUCCCACCCCCACCGCCA